rnacentral:rRNA from 1 species
GAUGAACGCUGGCGGCGUGCCUAAUACAUGCAAGUCGAACGAGGUGCUUGAGUAGCAAUACAAGAGUAUCCUAGUGGCGAACGGGUGAGUAACGCGUUGGUGACCUACCCCAAAGUGUGGGAUAACAGUCCGAAAGGAUUGCUAAUACCGCAUGUGGUCCUCGGGUUUAGAAACCGGUGACUAAAGGAGCAAUUCGCUUUGGGAGGGACCUGCGUCCCAUCAGCUAGUUGGUGAGGAACGGCUCACCAAGGCUACGACGGGUAGGGGACCUGAGAGGGUGACCCCC